rnacentral:rRNA from 1 species
CACGGAGGGGGCAAGCGUUGUUCGAAAUUACUGGGCGUAAAGCGCACGUAGGCGGAUUUGUAAGUCAGGGGUGAAAUCCCGGGGCUCAACCUCGGAACUGCCUUUGAUACUGCAAAUCUCGAGUCCGCAAGAGGUGAGUGGAAUUCCUAGUGUAGAGGUGAAAUUCGUAGAUAUUAGGAAGAACACCAGUGGCGAAGGCGGCUCACUGGUCCGGUACUGACGCUGAGGUGCGAAAGCCAGGGGAGCAAACGGG